rnacentral:lncRNA from 1 species
GCUAGGGCGGCGAUGGAGCUGUCCCCGCGGUUCGCUGUGGAUUGGAGGACGGGGUGAGCACCGGCGUGCAAUUGCCGGUUUCUCGGCCAUGGUUCACACCCGACGAGGCCCAAUUCCCGUGCAGUGGAGACCCGCGAUGUGUCAUUACUGCACCGAAGCGCGCACGAGAGUACACCGACGAGCCACCACGACGUAGGCGUAGCCCAGACCGUGCAACAACGUCGCAGCGGGCACCGGCCUUGAUGGCCCAACUUCCAGUGUUCGGCAGCAAUGAGGAUAUCACGAGAUUAAGGCUGCGACGGCGAGGAAGGUAGACGCGAAAUGAUUGCAGCACCAUCGAGCUUUCUCUCUUUGUCAUGGCGAUAGAACUUUCGUGUUGGCUCGGUGGCUUCUCAACCUCGCGCGAUUCCUUGAAAACUAUCAGGGGGCCGGUGGGCAGAGCUAUCGAUAUAUAUAUAUAUAUAUAUAUAUGUCGAAACCUGAUAGCUGCAUGGCUGCGUGCAGUCUGUUGCAACAACCCCGAUGAAUCGGCCGGAUAUCCCGUGGUUGCGCAACGAAUUUUGACCCGCUAUUUGCACGGAGUUGGCUUCGAUCAUGGAAAAGCUUUUGUGUCCGUUACGAACGACGGAGGGAUACGAGUUGCUGAUGUCGUAGUGACACAAUAUACGACUUGAAUAAUAAAGAAAAAAAAAUACACAUGUGAAGAGGACGAGGACGACGUUGGCUGAAAAGGCCAUCCGCUUCACGACCGAGGUGAGGCUUUACCUUUUUUUCCCUUGUUUUGUUUGUUUUCUUUUGUUUCUCUAUUUUCUGUUUUUAUAUUUUAAUGCCAAAUUUAAAUAUGGGUUGGGAUUUCGGUUAUAAUUUAAGUGCACAAACAAACAUCGGCAUGAUGCAAAGCAAUUUUUUUAUUUACUUAUUUAUUUAGAUAAAUACUUCUAGAUGUACCAUUAAUGAAAGGAAUAUUCACUCAAACAAAUAAAUAGAUAAUCUUUGUUUUUGUUUUGCAUUUUUUUAAUAUGGAUUACUAUAUAAAAUUCAAAUCCGAAUCAAAAUUUAAUAUUACCAUUUAUCUAUUUUAAGAAAACGAAUUUAAAAAAAAUAAGGAAAUCCUUAUUAAGAAUACAUUUUUAUUUGGAUUGUUUGGAGAAUAUUACUAAACCAAAAAUAGGAUUUUUUGUGUGUUACAAAUUCUACCCCCCUUAAAAAUAAUCUCGUCCUCGAGAUUAGUAAGAAAAGGGAUGCAACAAGUUUGGUUUGUGGUUUUAGCUCUUAGUUUCUAAUUAUUCUCAAGAACCAAAGUUUUUUUUAAGUUUCUAAUUAUGGUAAGCAAGUGGCUAGAAAAUCAUGGGCAUAAUGUAUAUUUGCUAAUGGGUAAGAUUAGAGAAGGGUAGGAUGAGAGAAGAUUAGGUAAGGAGAAUUCCUAUCCUGGGUGGUGACUCUUGACUUGUCCGAAGAUGUUCUUUGUCGUCUAUCCUUCCUUGAUGAUGAUGUUGUCUUCCUUUUUGGGUCUUGAUGUUUCCAUCAAAGUUAUGGACACCUAGUUUAAAUAGUUGUGAGUAUGAUAGACUACAUUAAGUAGGUCUAGAUCUUGUUUGAUGUUGGUUUGGAAUGGAUUUUUAUCAUCAGCAGGUUGGUUAGAUCGUUUGUUCUUGGACGAGUUGGUCUAUGACACCAAUUUAGGUGAAAACAUGUUUAUAGGAGCAGGGUCCAAUCUAUUUCACCAGUAUUAACUAACGUGUUUAAGUAACCCACAUUAGAUUUGAUUAUAUUAGAUUAGAUAUGAUCUAGAUUAGAUUGGUAUGGCUAGUUUGGACUAGAUAAGAUCUAAUUAAUUUAGUUUAGAUCCUGGUUUUUACUCUAGGAUGGGAUAAGCAAAUAGGUUAGAAUAAGAUAAGAUAGAGUCUUUCAAGAUAAGAUGGAGUUAUUAAGAUAGUUUUCUAUUAUUAUUUUUCUUUAUGGGGAUUAAUCUAAGUUGAUUAGUUAUUUUCGAAUACCGGUUUUGAUGCCUAUAUGUAUAUGUAGAUGCAAUUAAGGACAUUAAUCCACAACUCACCACACUCAAUCGAAGAAUCAAAUCAGACAAGUAUCAUAAGAACAAACAUUCAAGCAUACCAAUAUCUACAAAAAUAGUUUUGCUUUUGUUCCUAAGAUUAGGUCUCCUAUUCCUAAAGGUCACUUUAGGUACAGGAUUUCAAAGUGUGAAAUCCAAGUUUGUCUUUAGAAGGAAAAAGGUAAGAAUAAUCAGAGUAAAGCGGAAAUAGAUGAGAAAGGAUUAAGAAAAGUUCAGAAAGAAUCAGAAUAUCAAAGGUAAGUAGAUAAUGGUUGUCCAGUUCUAUCUAGGUUUCGUCCUACACUCAACAUUCCUCUGAUACCACUUCUGUCACACCCGGAUUUCAGGGGUCCAAAGCCCGGGCGCGAACAUAAUCACCAGGUGUGCUGGGACCAAGUCUCACACAUAUGAUGAAUCAUGGCACAGGAUCGAAUGUCACAUCUUUACUACAUAACAGGAAUUCUAUACAAAAUAAAUAAUUACAUUAUAAGGAGACAACGGUCCAGCAACCCAAAGUUGACUGGGAGACGACGACCUAGACCUCUCACGAACACAUCGCAGCAUCCUCCAAGCGCCUCAUCCUGCGGUACCUGUUCUUGACCUGUGGGGGUGUGAGACAGCAAGAGUGAGCUCACAUACGUUCAUCGCUCAACAAGUUGUGGGGAAUAAUGUGUAUGAACUCGCCAAAGGUGGGAGCUCAUGUGAAGUGUCAGGCUUACCAAAGAGGAUGGCUGAAGCUGAGCAUUGCUUUUAAAGUUGGUCAAAAUUUUAUUAGCCAUUACUAAGUAUAAGUAAAUACCAACCCAAUUAAAUAGUAGAACAGAAGUAACAACAUCACCUGCGAUGCAAUGCAUAUGACAAAUUGAAUUUAAGUUCCAUAGAUUAAUCAUGUGAGUGUCCGAGCUGCUCAUGACCGUGAGCACGGCUAGUAUACCAGUUUUACACUCUGCAGAGGUUGCGCAUCUUUACCCACAAGUCAUGUUACCCAUCUGCCAAGGGAUCGCGACUUCCCAUACACCUCUACCGAGGAGGCGAGGCAGGGUAACACUACGAGGCCUUUACAAAGUUCCACUAGCUUCAGAAAACCCGCUACAGUUUAUAGGAAGCUCCAAUGCAGGAAUCCCUUGCAGGACCGCCAUCGCAGCAAAAUCCUCCCGAGGGCCUCCCUACACUGACCACUCCCCUACUGCCCUUGCCCCUUUCGGGUAAGGUAGUCUUCCACUAGCUUUCCUAAUUAAUCGGCCAAGGGCGUCCCAUUAAACCCUUGUGGUAGCACUGUUUUCCCGGGUGGUUCUCCAUGUUCCAAUUAACAUAAUGAUCUUAUCAUGAACAGUAAAUAGCAACUGAUAACAAAAGUAUGAAUAAUAUGUAUCUCAAUGCCCAAAUCCACAUAUGGCACUAGCAAGUACUACCCAGAAAGUUUAGUGGUAAACAAGGCAUAAAGAUAGACAAACUAGGGUAACCUAUUAGGUCCCAUCAAAUUAACCUAUGCAGAUCAUUAUGAUUAAUUAGAACAUGAGUGGGUAAAAGAAGUGAUCAAGGGCACAACUUGCCUGGCACUUGAGAUUUCAGGUACCAACUUGCUCUUUGAUGACACGUAACCUCACGCUAGUCGUAGCAAUAUAAACAAACAUGGUAUAGGCAAAAUUAACAUCACAUCAAACAUAAGCACAAACUGAAUAAUAAUAAUCUACGCGUCGCUACAAGAUCGCGGGAUCGAGAACUACUAAGAUCGGAGUUACCAUUAAGGAGUUAUGAUUUUAUAAAAGAUUUGUGUGAUUAAAAUAUUAAACUAUAUUAUAAUUUGGUUAAUAUAUAUCAUAUGAGGGGUUAUUCUGUAAAUAAUUAUCUCAACUUUAAUCCAAGCUAUAAAUUAACCAUAGAUCAUAUUCUAGUAGAUUAUAAUGACAAGUAGAUUAACAAGACUAACCAACAUAGAUUAAAUAAAGACCUAAUUAUAAAAGAAUGAGACAUAGUAUUAUAAGUGUUGUUAUUGAAUAGUAAAUAUUUAUAGGAGACUGACGCAACUUGAACGGAUCAAAUCGGAGUUUAAAUGGGGAAGUUAUGAAUUUCACAAGGUUUUAUUUUUUUAUAUAAGAUUAAUUAGGAAAUAAAUUUUAUGGUGACAUUCAUGUCAAAAAGAGGCACUACGUGAUAAACAAUAAUAUUACAAAAUUAUAGGAACUGGAAUGGAAUAAUUUGGAGUUCAUAUGAAUUUUAUAUGAAUUAAACAAGUUCUAUUAUUUAUGUUUACAUUAAAAAUUCAUUUCCUAUUUACUCUUCUGGAUUUUUCUAAUUCCCUGGACUGGGCAUCAAAAUCUGUAAAAUACAGGGCCCCGGGGUAAGAUUUUCUAAGACACAGAGCAUCCUAGGUACGGAUGGCGGGUUAAUUCACAAAAAGAGCAGGGGUUCUUAAGAAAAUUCUCUCAGCCGAAGGGGUAUGGGUUAAACUGAGUCGUUGGAUUAGAAAUAUGCGGUACGGAUUAGAUCGGAUAUCCAGCGAAUCGGUACGUGGUCCCAGCCACCUGAUCUAACUUCAACGAUCCAGAUUUAAAUUCUGGGAUGGGAUCCCAUACGUCCGAUCUUGAUCCUACGGACUAGCCUACAUCGCGUGAAUCAGGCAGGCCAGAUCGAAUCCCAACCGCAGAAUAUCAGAUCGACGACCGCGAGUCCUUCUCCGUUGCACGAAAACGAUGGCGCCGGCGCCCGCGGCCACCACGGCGGCACCAUUGCCGCAGCGCCCUGACCUCACGACUCGAGCUACGAUCUUUGAUCCUACCUGUGCUACAUCUAGUGAAGGUUGAAGUGAGUCCAGUGGCAAGAUCUUACCGGCUAGGGCGGCGAUGGAGCUGUCCCCGCGGUUCGCUGUGGAUUGGAGGACGGGGUGAGCACCGGCGUGCAAUUGCCGGUUUCUCGGCCAUGGUUCACACCCGACGAGGCCCAAUUCCCGUGCAGUGGAGACCCGCGAUGUGUCAUUACUGCACCGAAGCGCGCACGAGAGUACACCGACGAGCCACCACGACGUAGGCGUAGCCCAGACCGUGCAACAACGUCGCAGCGGGCACCGGCCUUGAUGGCCCAACUUCCAGUGUUCGGCAGCAAUGAGGAUAUCACGAGAUUAAGGCUGCGACGGCGAGGAAGGUAGACGCGAAAUGAUUGCAGCACCAUCGAGCUUUCUCUCUUUGUCAUGGCGAUAGAACUUUCGUGUUGGCUCGGUGGCUUCUCAACCUCGCGCGAUUCCUU